AUUGAACGCUGGCGGCAGGCUUAACACAUGCAAGUCGAGCGGGGGAAGGUAGCUUGCUACCGGACCUAGCGGCGGACGGGUGAGUAAUGCUUAGGAAUCUGCCUAUUAGUGGGGGACAACAUCUCGAAAGGGAUGCUAAUACCGCAUACGUCCUACGGGAGAAAGCAGGGGAUCUUCGGACCUUGCGCUAAUAGAUGAGCCUAAGUCGGACUAGCUAGCUGGUGGGGUAAAGGCCUACCAAGGCGACGAUCUGUAGCGGGUCUGAGAGGAUGAUCCGCCACACUGGGACUUAGACACGGCCCAGACUCCUACGGGAGGCAGCAGUGGGGAAUAUUGGACAAUGGGGGGAACCCUGAUCCAGCCAUGCCGCGUGUGUGAAGAAGGCCUUAUGGUUGUAAAGCACUUUAAGCGAGGAGGAGGCUACUUUAGUUAAUACCUAGAGAUAGUGGACGUUACUCGCAGAAUAAGCACCGGCUAACUCUGUGCCAGCCGCCGCCGUAA
rnacentral:rRNA from 1 species